rnacentral:rRNA from 1 species
CGGAACGAGUUAUCUGAACCUUCGGGGAACGAUAACGGCGUCGAGCGGCGGACGGGUGAGUAAUGCCUAGGAAAUUGCCCUGAUGUGGGGGAUAACCAUUGGAAACGAUGGCUAAUACCGCAUGAUGCCUACGGGCCAAAGAGGGGGACCUUCGGGCCUCUCGCGUCAGGAUAUGCCUAGGUGGGAUUAGCUAGUUGGUGAGGUAAGGGCUCACCAAGGCGACGAUCCCUAGCUGGUCUGAGAGGAUGAUCAGCCACACUGGAACUGAGACACGGUCCAGACUCCUACGGGAGGCAGCAGUGGGGAAUAUUGCACAAUGGGCGCAAGCCUGAUGCAGCCAUGCCGCGUGUGUGAAGAAGGCCUUCGGGUUGUAAAGCACUUUCAGUCGUGAGGAAGGUGGUGUAGUUAAUAGCUGCAUUAUUUGACGUUAGCGACAGAAGAAGCACCGGCUAACUCCGUGCCAGCAGCCGCGGUAAUACGGAGGGUGCGAGCGUUAAUCGGAAUUACUGGGCGUAAAGCGCAUGCAGGUGGUUUGUUAAGUCAGAUGUGAAAGCCCGGGGCUCAACCUCGGAAUAGCAUUUGAAACUGGCAGACUAGAGUACUGUAGAGGGGGGUAGAAUUUCAGGUGUAGCGGUGAAAUGCGUAGAGAUCUGAAGGAAUACCGGUGGCGAAGGCGGCCCCCUGGACAGAUAC